CUUGCCUGCUGCCUCAUUGACUCCCAAGUCUUGUGACAAGUCAGAGCUUCCUGUAUCAUAACUUUACUCUAGCUGAUUGCGAGCUGAAUUCAGUCUCCUGGCACUCUCCUCACAGAAUGACUAUAGCCCUUCUUUGAACCCUGCAGUUUUUAGCCGAGGACCACAUAUAUUUUCCACAUACUCUCGUCAGUGUUUCCCAUAGGGACCCUCAGUCCUGAAAAGACACAUCCCUUACUUUUGGCUACGCACGGUGGCUCACGCCUGUAAUCCCAGCACUUUGGGAGGCCAAGGUGGGUGGAUCACAAGGUCAAGAGACCGAUACUAUCCUGGCUAACAUAGUGAAACCCCGUCUAAAAUACAAAAUACUAAAAAUGCAAAAAUUAGCUGGGUGUCUGAGCUACUCGGGAAGCUGAGGCAGGAGAAUCGCUUGAACCCAGGAGGUGGAGGUACAAGUGAGCCAAGAUCACACCACUCUACUCCAGCCUGGUGACAGAACAGGAUUCUGUCUCAAAAAUAAAUAAAUAAUAUAUAUUUUUAAAAAAGACAUAUCCCUUACUUUAAAAAACUUUGUUUAGGCAACCCACUAUGGGCCAGAGUCCUCAGACUGACUCAGGAUAGCUGACUAAGCUGCUGCUCCAGAAUGCUGAAAUAUGUCAUAAUUCACCAUAUGAACCAUUGUUCAUAACUGUGUGACCACCAUAAAUCUUACCUUCAAGGAUGCUCUCAUCUGAAUGAACUAAGCAGAAGAAACCAAACAAUAAGAGAGGGAAAUGGAGAAAUUUGAUUUAUACGUGAAAAUUCUGCUUUUCAACUUUCACAUGCCAAAGGCUGCAGAUGCUGAAACUAAUCACUAUGAUUCUACUUUAACUGCAAGAUGGCCAAAAAGUGCAGACAGGUUCAUGUAUAUGAAAACAGAGGAGAGCAGAUUUUGGUGAAUACUAGUGAUAUCUACUUUACAGGAUAACAACUGGCUGAAACCGGCUGGAACCAUUAUGGCUAACUGGAGUCUGUGCAGAACAAGCUUGCUGACAUCACAGCCUGAAUUUCUGCUGCAUGUUUCAUAAUAACUUCCCCCAAAUUUGCACAUGUGAUCCAUGAGAUAGCAUGAAGAGAUAACUGUGCAUGCCAGAGGACUUUCCAGACCUCCCCUUCCCUUCUACCAAUCAGGGUAAAUACCAGAAUCCAUCCCCUAAACCUUAAUAAAAGUCUUGCCUUAUAGCCAACAUGAGGAGAUAGAUUUGAGUUGGACUCCUGUCUCCUUGUUGGUAAACCUGCAGUAGAAAGUUAUUCUUUUCUCAGAAACCCAGUAUCUUUGCAUUGGCUUCUAGCACAUUAGGAAGCGAGCCCCUUUUGCUCAGUAACAAUGGCAAAAUAAGUACAUUAAAGGAUGCUUAACAUUGUUAGUCAUAAGGGAGAUGAAAAUUAAAACCACAAUGAGAUACUACCAUGCAGUCACUAGAAUGACUGAACUUUUAGGAAACUGAACAUACUGAGUGUCACUGAGGUUACGUAGCCACUGGAACUAUUGUACGGUAUAGCCACUUUGAAAAACAAGUAGGCAGUUGCUUGAGAAGUUAAACAUACACCUACCAUUUGAUCAGAUCCAGCCAUUCAACUUCUAGGUAUUUAUACAAAAACAAUGAAAGCAUGUGUCCAUAUGAAGACUUGUACAUGAAUAUUCAUAGAGCUUCAUUUGUAAUAAUCAAAAACUGGAAGCCAUUCAAAUGUCCAUCUGCAGCAAAUGGACAAACAGAUUGAGAAUAUCCAUACCAUGGAAUACUACUUGGCAAUGAAAAGAAAAGAACUAUUGAUAUGUGCAGCAAUAUGGAUAAAUCUCAAAAUAAUUAUGCUGAGUGGAAGAAGCCAGAUCAAAAAAAAGUGUGUAUGAUGUCAUUCAUGCAAAACUGUAGAAAAUGCAAAUGAAUCACUAUAGUGACAUGAAGCAAAGAAGGGUUGCCUGAAGAUAGGGAUGAGGUAUGGUGAGGUAGGGAGGAAGAAUUUACAAAGGUACAUAAGAAAACUUUUAGGGAUGAUGAAUAUGUUCAAUGUCUUGGUUGAAGUGAUGGCUUUGUGAGUGUAUACACAUGUUGAAACUUACCAAAUGUUAUACUUUACAUAUAUGCACUUUUUUAUGUCAAUUUAUUAAUAAACCACUUUUAAUAGUAGUUUUUGCAUCAGCCAAAGAUGAAGGAACUGGCUUGUAUCUUUCCAUUAAGUUUCAAAUUACUCUCCGCAAGUUCCCUUGAAAGUGUAGGUCACCAUAGAGGAGGAGUGAGCGUGCUAAGUCACCUAUCA
rnacentral:lncRNA from 1 species